CCCACCUGCAGGGCAGUUCCUUGGGCUUCAAAAGGUGAUUGAAGGAGGACUGGAGCUGCUGCCCACCAUCACAGAGUCCCUGGGUAGGGAUUGAACCUGGAGCUUCAUAUUCUAUUAAACAUCCCUGGAGUACUGUACUUAUUAUAGCACACUAUAGUAAUAGAAAGUUUUUAAAGAGCCUAAUAAUCACAAAUAUUAUUUCAAAGAGAAAUGGCUAGACAAACAGAACCACUGUUUAACUCUGUAGCCCAUAAUUAUCUGCAACCAUUGUGCAUGUCGCCUUUAUGCAGACAUGGAGAGCAGUAAAAAUGACAAACUAUUUUUUAUAGCAGGAAUUUAUGUAUGUGUGAUGCUACUGAGUGAUGGAAAUGGUCCCUGACAUCCGAGAUAGAAACCUUUCAUUCAAAAGCAAUUGCAAUUGAAGCUCUUCAGCAUUAGCACUGGACUAGCAGCAAAUACAACUGACGCCAGUCAUCUGAUCAGUGCCAUCUCUGAAUGAGGGCUUUUACUUGCAGUGUACUUUUGUUCAAUAAAUACAAAUUCGUUGCUCA